CACCGGCGGCUCGAGUGGUGGCCACUUUUAUUGGGUCUAAAGCGUCCGUAGCCGGCUUGGCAAGUCCCCUGGGAAAUCUGGCGGCUUAACCGUCAGGCGUCCAGAGGAUACUGCCAGGCUUGGGACCGGGAGAGGUGAGAGGUACCUCAGGGGUAGGGGUGAAAUCCUAUAAUCCCAGGGGGACCACCAGUGGCGAAGGCGUCUCACUAGAACGGGUCCGACGGUCAGGGACGAAAGCUGGGGGCACGAACCGG
rnacentral:rRNA from 1 species